ACGAACGCUGGCGGCAUGCCUCACACAUGCAAGUCGAACGAGACCUUCGGGUCUAGUGGCGCACGGGUGCGUAACGCAUGGGAACCUGCCCUUAGGUUCGGAAUAACUCCCCGAAAGGGGUGCUAAUACCGGAUAAUGUCUUCGGACCAAAGAUUUAUCGCCUUUGGAUGGGCCCGCGUUGGAUUAGCUAGUUGGUAGGGUAAAAGCCUACCAAGGCGACGAUCCAUAGCUGGUCUGAGAGGAUGAUCAGCCACACUGGGACUGAGACACGGCCCAGACUCCUACGGGAGGCAGCAGUGGGGAAUAUUGGACAAUGGGCGAAAGCCUGAUCCAGCAAUGCCGCGUGAGUGAUGAAGGCCUUAGGGUUGUAAAGCUCUUUUACCCGGGAUGAUAAUGACAGUACCGGGAGAAUAAGCUCCGGCUAACUCCGUG
rnacentral:rRNA from 1 species